AAGGAGAAGGAUGGGGAUGCGUCUGAUUAGCUUGUUGGCGGGGUAACGGCCCACCAAGGCGACGAUCAGUAGGGGUUCUGAGAGGAAGGUCCCCCACAUUGGAACUGAGACACGGUCCAAACUCCUACGGGAGGCAGCAGUGAGGAAUAUUGGUCAAUGGGCGAGAGCCUGAACCAGCCAAGUAGCGUGCAGGAAGACGGCCCUAUGGGUUGUGAACUGCUUUUAUGCGGGGAUAAAGUGAGCCACGUGUGGCUUAUUGCAGGUACCGCAUGAAUAAGGACCGGCUAAUUCCGUGCCAGCAGCCGCGGUAAUACGGAAGGUCCGGGCGUUAUCCGGAUUUAUUGGGUUUAAAGGGAGCGUAGGCCGUCUGGUAAGCGUGUUGUGAAAUGUCGGGGCUCAACCUGGGCAUUGCAGCGCGAACUGUCAGACUUGAGUGCGCGGGAAGUAGGCGGAAUUCGUCGUGUAGCGGUGAAAUGCUUAGAUAUGACGAAGAACUCCGAUUGCGAAGGCAGCCUGCUGUAGCGCAACUGACGCUGAAGCUCGAAAGCGUGGGUAUCGAACAGGAUUAGAUACCCUGGUAGUCCACGCGGUAAACGAUGGAUGCUCGCUGUUUGCGUCUGACGUAAGCGGCCAAGCGAAAGCGUUAAGCAUCCCACCUGGGGAGUA
rnacentral:rRNA from 1 species